AUGGAGAAAAGUAUGUCUGAUUAUUUUGGAGACGAGAAUGAUUACUGGAGCUGUCAGCAUCACAACAGUGGUACUGAUUAUUUGAAAGAAUCAAAUGAGUUCAUUUAUCGAAAAAAGUUGGGUACUGAUGCCGAACACAGCGCCCUCUCUCGAGCGUUUCUUGACGAAGCAUUCUCUGCAAGGUGUCAUCAGCAAUAUGGACACCUCCUUUGCAAGCUUAAAUCAGUUUGGUUCCAUACAGAGCGGGCAGCUCGCCUAGAAUGUUUAUUUUGUUAUGACAAGUUCAGGAAGGAUGCGCUGGACAUUGUUGCAUUCUUUGAGGAGGAGCUCAAAAAGUGCAAGGAUGGGAACCCCACAACGUUCCAAAUAUAUCAACGAUCUUAUUUAUCAACUUUAAUUAGCCUCAUGCCUACAAUCAUUCAUUUAGUCUUAGAGCUGCUUCGAUCUGUACAUGCACUAUGGAAGGAUGAUACUAUGGUAACUUUACCAGAAGUACUUGCAGAAGAAAUUAGGAAACUGAAACUGCAAGACACUGACCUUUCAGAGUUCAAAGAGAAUGACAUAGCGCAUUGGUUACAGCUAAUCCGUGAGAGAGGAUACAACCUCUUAGGUUUAUGUGCGGCAAUUGAGGGACCAUUCUGCGAGCUGUUAGACAGUUCAUCAGUUAGCGAUGCCAUAAUCGAAGACUUGGGUUGCAUGGAAUCCCGGCAUGUUAGCAAGCUAAUCGAUCUUGUCAUCAUUCCUUUGAUGAAGUAUUGCCCUUCUAAGCGAUUGGGAGAAUGGAUUUUGAAGCUCUUACCACCCUUAUUUAUUUACUGCGAGGACAUACUUUGUGGCGCAUGGUUCAAUCUUCUAAAUAAAGGCCGGGCUGGUUAUCCUUACUACUUCGGUUAUCUUCGUGGGUCACAGAGAAGUGCAAAGAAGUUAGAAGAGUGCCUACUGCUUGACUUGACUCGCAAAGUCUCAAAGUUGCUUGGGGUUCUAGCAUCUUCAAAACCAAUUGGCGCUCUUACAUGUGUGGACCUGCAAUCUGUCAGUACGGCGAAGGCUGCUUCAUCGCGUGAUUCGAAGCGCGCGUCAUCUAACUCUGUUAUUGGAUAUACUUUACAUAAUGAUUGUUUUGGAAUGUUAAAUAUGAACCUAUUUGGGUCAUGGGUUGAUGGUGAAGCAACGAGGGACGCCGUUCCCUUUUGUCGUGCUUUGGUCCAAGUUGCAGUUGCUACACAAAACAGUAAACUCAGACGGUUUAUUCUACAUGAUAUGCUCCCAGCUACAAUUAAGCGCCUUUGUACUGAUCUUCCAUGCGCGGUUCAGCGGACAAUCAAAAAGUUAAGUUGCCAGCUGAACUCAAGCAAGAGCCAAAAGGCUAGUAAAGAUCUUUGGAUCCUAUGUCAAGAGAUUUAUGCAGUUCAUAUACAAAAUCAGGAUUUCACCGCCGAGAACCCGGGCAAUGUGAACAGACGAGGCCAGUUUAAAGAUUGGCUUGCAAGGCAAAAGAAAGAACUUUUUGCGAAGGCAUCUUAUGAUAUUCCAGUGGGCUUUCCUUCUGAUUUGUGGAAUUGGGAGUUUGAAGACGAAUUUCAAAGAUACCUCCCUACCUAUAUUGACAUAUUGUAUGAAGUUGAUGCAAUGGAUUGUCCAGAGUAUGGUUGUUCACGCUCUUCUACGCUUCUUGAGAAACUGAGGCCUGAAUUUCGAUUAAAACAUGGUAUUAACAGUUUUCGGGAUCGUCAUAUGUGGACGAUAAAUGAUAUGAUUAAGCGAAAACUACCUGCAGAAUAUUCCAAGAGGCGUUCCCGUCAAAUGGACAAAUGGCUUUGCAAACUCAUUUCCUCGAAACCUUACUUUAAGCACUCUGAUGAACGUCAAAGUGCCAUGACUUGGCUUAUGGAAGACUCGCCGUUAGAUGCAAAUCUUUCUGAGUUGGAUGUGCAAGAUGCGGUUGAUAUCUUUUACAAUACAAUAUUAUUCUACUUGGAACCUCAGUUUCAUCCUCUAAUACGGGAGGGUCAAAAGGACUUCCUUAUAAAGGUAGCUCACCAGUUCGUUUUUGCAGAAGAGACCAAUUCUUGCAAGCCCCUCGAACCAGAAUCACGUGAUUUUCCUGGCCAUCUGCAGCCUUAUGCAAGUUCAUACAUCCAUACAAUGAAGUUACAAUCUAAGUAUUUUACGGCACAAGAACAAUUCCGUCGGCAUCAGGAGUUUGAUCGAUAUUUGGCUUCCGGAGAACUAGAUGAUGAUGUCUAUAAGUUUAGUUCUUCACAGGAUAAGUCUGUUCUGCAAUUUGUUGAAAAAAACAACGUGAAAAGUCGGUUCGGGAACCUGGAUGAUAAGCUCAUUAAAUUGUCUUUGGAGGAUCGAGCUCAGAUUGUGGAUACAAUACGUCAAGUGGAUAUUUAUUCUGAAAACUUGAAAAACAUAACAGCGGAUGACAAGCUGAAGGUGUGCCUUCAAAACUUGGUGCAUGAGCUAAAGGAGGAAGGCUUUUUCAAUGUUGAUAACGAUUCUAUUGACUGGGAGAAGACAUGUUUUGUAUCACUCAUAGACGAAUUUAAGGAACUAGUUUUCAAAGGACAUGGCUGCCCUAGAUAUGUUGCUAUUCAAGGAAUUAUGGAGUAUUGGAUAAUCUCACAAAGAAGCGACAUAAAUGGACAAGUUGCUUUUGAAAAGGUCAUUGAAGGAGUAUGUCAUACAUGGAAGAAAAACAUUGCAGAGCUUUGGAUGGAUACAAGAUACUACGAGGAAUCAUGUUAUGACUUGCUCAGAAAUCCUUUGAAAAAGAUCCUCCCUAAAUAG
rnacentral:rRNA from 1 species